rnacentral:rRNA from 1 species
UAUAAAUGUAUUUAUUUGACUAAGUUAGUAUUAGUUAUGUUCUUGAAAAUUAAAGAUUUUGGCGGUAUUUUAGUCUAUUCAGAGGAACCUGUUCUAUAAUUGAUAAUCCACGAUUUAAUUUACUUUUUUUAUUAGUUUACAUAUCGUCGUAAUUUGAAUAUUUUAUAAGAAUUUUAAUAUUCAAGAUUUAUUAUUAUAAAAUAAAUCAGAUCAAGGUGUAGUUUAUAAAAAAGUAGAAAUGGGUUACAUUAAUUAAAAUUAGGGAUUAUUAUUUUUAAAGUAAUAUGAAUUUGGAUUUGAAAGUAAUAUUGAUUAAUUAUUUAAUUUGAUUUUAGCUCUAAAAUAUGC